CCAAAUAUUAAAUGUGAAGAAUUUACAUUGGGCAUUCUCUUUGACAAAAGAUGAGAAUAACUUAAGACUCAGAGAUGGGAACAAACCUGACCAAUGACAUACAGUUAACAAGCAGCAGAGCCAAGAUUCAAAGCAUAAGAUGGUAGAUUAUUCAAAGCAACUACUCAUUUAACAGCAAUUUUUCAUGUUGAUUGCCAACAAAGUCCUCACAUUUCCUGGUCCACACACUCUGCCUCGCAGGCCGAGGCACCCUGAAACAAAUUAGAAUGGAUUAUCUUUGAACUGGAGGAUGGACUUCACUUGAGCUUACAUGUCUUGAAAAGUUACAGGCACAACCCCAACUGGCAGCUGGCCUGUAGAAGCCUGCUACAAAACUAUCAGAGAAGCCAGGGAAUGGCACCAGCAAGUGAGGGUUAUUUGGAUUGGGGAUUAAUGAUGGACUUCUGCUCCUGGACUGCUCCACUUAUAAAAGAAUGUGGCAGAACUGUCUCUUCCUCUAGCUGUCAAAUUGAGGGUGUAUAUCAAUCCUCUCUUUCCCUAUUUUUUUCCCUUCAUUUCCUUCUAAGU